GUACAUAAACUUUUAAAAUUCCCUUUUCCUUUACAGUUUUUUUAGCGAACUCCAAUUUUCAAACCCUAAUUCCCAAUUUUCAAUUUUGAAAUUUGAUCUUUCUUAACCUCACUGGCUCUGCAAUCCUAGCUUCACCGCCGACCUUUUUACUCCUCAACAAUGUCGUUUCAUCGCACAUAUAGAAAACCUUAUCUGAUGAAGAUGACUCAAGCUAUAACAGGGGUAGGGGAGAAGUUUAAGGAGGUCCAACGCCCCCCAGCAUGGAGUAGCUCCGACCCCAAGCCCACCAAUUCUAAACCCUAUUUCUUCGACUCUAAAGUGGAUCCCAGAAAUUUGGUAUUUUGAUCUCUUUACAGAAUGCGAGAAACGUAAGAAACAAUGAGAAGAAAAUGAAAUUGGUGCACUACUUGGCGUAUUUGAGCAAUUGACAGGUUACAAGAACAACAUUGAUAAGUUUAAGGUUAAGAUGCAGGAAAUUUUAAGUUGGAUGAAGGGUACGAGUACAAUGCAAGUUAUCUCAUAGGUUCUAACUUAUUUUACGCUGCUAUAUACUUAAUAGAAUAAAUAUUAUAAUUUCUCUAAUAGGUACAAAUAUAUUUGUUAUUACUAAUGUCAUGACUAUUGGUAUACUAUGCUCUAAUUUAUCUUACUAUGAAUCAUCGUUAUACUAUGUCAUUUGUAUACUAUGAUCAUUGGUAUACUAUGAUUAUAUCCUUGAUAAACUUGCAAUUAAAGCUCCAAGUUAUACUCAAUAGUCGAUGACCAAUUCGGCAAAUUAACACAUACAACUUGCAAACAAUCUUGCAAGUAGAACUAAACUUCAAGAUAUCAUAAUAUAAAUGAAAUUAAGGGUUCAAGAGAAAGGAAAUGCAGUGAAGGGUACACCAUUAGCUCUACCAGGAGCUCAUCUGGUUUGGACGAGUUAAGUUAUGUUCUUUUCUUUCAUGUUUAUUUUGUUUUAUUUAUAUUAUCUGCAUGUUGCAUCCAAAAUUUAAAAAUAAAAUUAUUUGGAUGUGCAGAGAUUUGCAGAGAUAUGCAGUUUACAUUGUUUUAUAUACAUUUACAUUUUUAUAUAUAUGUUCUUUAUAGCAGUGCUUUUCAAUUUAUUGAAUCCUUAUUAUUAGUGUAUAUAAUAUAUAUUUAUAUUCUGUAUAUAUCUUUUCUUUUAUAGCAAUACUUUUCAUUUUAAAAUAUUUUUUUCAAUUGUUUCAAGCUUUGGCUAUAGACCCUCCUUGAAAGACUAAAAUGCAUCUCCAUCUUGGAAAGUCAAUAUAGUAAAGUCGUCACUCUUGCAGGAUGCAGAAUAUUGAAGUACUCAAAGACUUAUAUGAAAAUCAUUACUUCAGAUGAUGAAUUUGUAAAUUAUUUGAGUAUUUUUCCAAUGUGUACAACAAUAUAAAUUUGAAAAACAGAUUAUAUCCGUUUGUGGAAUUAUUAUUUUCAUUUUAAUAAUAUUUGUUUGAUGGAUUGUCUACU